rnacentral:lncRNA from 1 species
AGAGCGCGUGUGGCCGCCGAGCACAUGGACCCACUGGUCAAGCGGGCUCGGCAAGGCCAGGAUGAAGAGAAGCUACGAACUUAGCAUUCCCAGAGCCCCCCGAGUGGAUAUCCGCGUGGAAAGGAUGUUGGCAGCCCCGGUGACCUCGGAGUCACGGCUGGAUCCACCCUCUUGUCUGAUUUUCUUAACUCUACUACGGUAAGAAGAUGCCCUCCAUCAGCAGGCCGUGUCUGCUGGGACCUCUCUGGAGACUUCCUGAACCCUGUGGAUUUACAGUAAGAUGCAGUUUCCUGGGGAGUAAUUCUGGUGGAUACAAAUUCCGGAGUAUUACACCUGGCUUGCCUGGAGAUGUUACAAGUAGCUGGAUGGAUUCUUCAGCCUGGAUGCCCACUGAAAACAAGGACCGAAACUAAGAGGAUUGUAUCUCUACCCUUGACUCAAUGAGAAUGUUUGUUGUCAUCUCUCGGGCUACCUGGAGCUCCCUCUAAAAUGUAAGCCCCUAAGACCCAUCUCCUUUCAAUGCAGUGUUUCUGUAUACCCUUUAAGCGUUCCAGAAGGAUUUUGAGAUCCUUUCCUAAAUCAAAGGUGGAAUAUUUGGGGAUUUGGAAAAUUGAGAUGUGAAGCGUUGACUUAAGAGAUGCCAAGUAACUCAGCAGAUGUCACACAGACGAUAAAUAGCAAAGAUGGAAGUCUUCAUGCCGGAGGCAAUCCUAUAAGACAGCUGAGUUCUGCAGAGCUGGAGACAGACUUGCUCAGGUGAUAGAUCCAGCCAUGAUACUGACCCUAAGAGAAUGAGACGCUCUGCAGAAGACAGAAGAUUCCUGAAACUGGGAAAGGUGCCUAGAAAUCCUGAUAAGAGUGAAGAAGGAGCUGGCAGAGCAGCCUUCCUCCGCACUAUGAAAGACAUCCAACAGAGAGCAAGUUCCCACCUCACUUCCAGCUUGACUCCUUUUUAUCUCCUAACUGUGGUCUGUGAUGUCUUCAGCAAUGGUAUUAACUAGUUCUGGGUACCUGGAGGCACAGCAGCCAUGUUGAACCUAUGAGGUGAUGAAAAACCAUGCAACUAGAAACCAGAAUGGAAGAAAAGAAGAAGCUGGAUCCUUGACUGAAUUGUCGAUGGGGGAUAGUCCAUCAUCCCAGGGCUAAGACCACCUCCAGAUUUCUUGUUUGGUGAAACAAGUCCUGAUUGUUUACAUUCCCUCGUGUUGAGCUGUCUCUUGCUUGUAGCUGAAAGCAUUUCUAAUAGAUAUUCAGAUUAUCAGCCUUAGCUCCAAGCUAGAAUACUCUAUGGGACCUUAGCUUCUCCAUGAAUUCCUUUGCUCAUCUGUGUAAUGCUCAAUAAAUGUAAAUUGAACCCUGAAUGAGGGACAAUGACACUAUUGAAGUCAUGAUUGUCAAUCUUAUUAACGGACUAACUACUUAACAAAAAGGUUGGAACACUGCCUGACGCACAGUAAGCGGCUGGGGAAAGGGUUUGCCAAAUGGAGUGACAAGAAAACAGUCAUGUUUAUAGGCUUUCUUUUACAUCUUGAUCCAUCUUCAAGCCUCUGUGGUCUUUAAGCAGAACCUUGACCCCUUCAGUACUGGGGCUCCUGGAGCAUGACACGCCCCCUAAACUCUUGUCUCAAAACACCCACUCUAGCAGUUUCUUUUUGACAAAAAAAAAGCCUUCUUAGUGAAUGCUGGCUUGUGAAAAAGAAGGGGCUGUGAUCAUCAAAUCGUGUUAGUAGAUGACCAAAAUACCCAAAGCAAUUCAUGCAAAUAGAUUCAAGUCUCUCUGGGCAAGCCUUCCUGAAGGCUCUAGAAUUUCUGAAGCUCAUUUUUGAAAGGGUCUUUCCAUAUGGUGGCCUUUUUCUUUUUUGCACCUCCUCCCUUCUUUCUCAUCAGAGCUAAAGGGAUGCUCAGACUCUCUGUCCUUUCUGUGUAGUGAGGGACCAGGCUGCUGGGCGAGUGUGAAGGAGCGAGUGUGAUUUGGGAUAUUCUUUUCUGGUAUGGCAAUGGCCAGCCUUUAGAGAGGUCAUUUGAAGUUGGCCAACAAGUAGACAUUAUUUCAAAAUAGUUCUUGAUCAUUAAAGAACCAACCAGUAUGUCUUAAAAACAAACAAACCAAUCUUUUGGAAAGUUUCUGCUGAAUGUGUGCCCUUCCGACUCACUUCUUAUCCUUUCUGUCAGAAACACCCCAGAAAAGGGGGUCUUGCCUUUGAACCACUCUGCUACUUUAAUCUUCCUGCUUCUGUCUGACCUACCUUCCUUCUUUCAGUAGCCAGGAUCCUUUCAGAGUGAGCUCCAAAAGGUGGGGAUUCUCCAGCCACGAGUGCCCUCUGAAAUUCUAUCUUACUUAGAAUAAAAUAUCUAGAUUUAUACAGUGUCCCCUUGUAUGGGUGGUGGCUUUUUUUUUUUUUCUAUCAUUUUCCUGCUUGUUCACACCACUCUCUCCCUGGCCUUCUUAUGUCACAGAUUUCCUGAGUACACUCUGGCCUCAGUCUUUCCAUGAAGUAACUCUCCUUUCUAGAACAUUCUUGCCUGCAUAACUAUCUGCUUCUGUCCUCACUGUAUUCUGAUCUGUAUUUCUAUGUCAAUUUCCAGACAGGCAUUCUCUGCCCAUCCUCUAAAGUGUGCCCCCUGUCUUCUUUGCUGUUACCUGUAUGCCCUAAGUCUAAGUCACUGACCUUAUUGUAGACUAAAUUUGUUAGCAUUUCUUUCCAGGAUGCAAGCCUAGUGAUGAAGGAGUCAUUGUUCCAUUGUCAGAAUAGCUACAGAAUCCAGCCUGUUCUGCCCUGGAUGCUUUAUUAAGUAAUGAAGCUCAAUAAAACAAUUUGACCAA